rnacentral:rRNA from 1 species
GACGAACGCUGGCGGCGUGCUUAACACAUGCAAGUCGGACGGUGAACCGCUUUCGGGUGGGGAUCAGUGGCGAACGGGUGAGUAACACGUGAGUAACCUGCCCUUCACUCUGGGAUAACUCCGGGAAACCGGGGCUAAUACUGGAUACGACCUACUCGGGCAUCCGAUGUGGGUGGAAAGAUUUAUUGGUGGGGGAUGGACUCGCGGCCUAUCAGCUUGUUGGUGAGGUAAUGGCUCACCAAGGCGACGACGGGUAGCCGGCCUGAGAGGGCGAUCGGCCACACUGGGACUGAGACACGGCCCAGACUCCUACGGGAGGCAGCAGUGGGGAAUAUUGCACAAUGGGCGAAAGCCUGAUGCAGCGACGCCGCGUGAGGGAUGAAGGCCUUCGGGUUGUAAACCUCUUUCAGCAGGGAAGAAGCGAAAGUGACGGUACCUGCAGAAGAAGCACCGGCUAACUACGUGC